rnacentral:rRNA from 1 species
GCUGGAAAGCUUGGCGAUACAGGGUGAUAGCCCCGUAACCGACGCUUCAUCGAGCGUGAAAUCGAGUAGGGCGGGACACGUGAUAUCCUGUCUGAAUAUGGGGGGACCAUCCUCCAAGGCUAAAUACUCCUGACUGACCGAUAGUGAACCAGUACCGUGAGGGAAAGGCGAAAAGAACCCCUGUGAGGGGAGUGAAAUAGAACCUGAAACCGUGUACGUACAAGCAGUAGGAGCACCUUCGUGGUGUGACUGCGUACCUUUUGUAUAAUGGGUCAGCGACUUAUAUUCAGUGGCAAGGUUAACCGUAUAGGGGAGCCGUAGCGAAAGCGAGUCUUAACUGGGCGCUCAGUCUCUGGAUAUAGACCCGAAACCGGGUGAUCUAGCCAUGGGCAGGUUGAAGGUUGAGUAACAUCAACUGGAGGACCGAACCGACUAAUGUUGAAAAAUUAGCGGAUGACUUGUGGCUAGGGGUGAAAGGCCAAUCAAACUCGGAGAUAGCUGGUUCUCCCCGAAAGCUAUUUAGGUAGCGCCUCGGACGAAUACUACUGGGGGUAGAGCACUGUUAAGGCUAGGGGGUCAUCCCGACUUACCAACCCUUUGCAAACUCCGAAUACCAGUAAGUACUAUCCGGGAGACACACGGCGGGUGCUAACGUCCGUCGUGGAGAGGGAAACAACCCAGACCGCCAGCUAAGGUCCCAAAGUAUUGCUAAGUGGGAAACGAUGUGGGAAGGCUCAGACAGCUAGGAUGUUGGCUUAGAAGCAGCCAUCAUUUAAAGAAAGCGUAAUAGCUCACUAGUCGAGUCGGCCUGCGCGGAAGAUGUAACGGGGCUAAGCAAUACACCGAAGCUGCGGCAAUAUCUUUUAGAUAUUGGGUAGGGGAGCGUUCUGUAAGCCGUUGAAGGUGAAUCGUAAGGUUUGCUGGAGGUAUCAGAAGUGCGAAUGCUGACAUGAGUAACGACAAAGGGGGUGAAAAACCUCCUCGCCGGAAGACCAAGGGUUCCUGUCCAACGUUAAUCGGGGCAGGGUGAGUCGACCCCUAAGGUGAGGCCGAAAGGCGUAAUCGAUGGGAAACGGGUUAAUAUUCCCGUACUUCUGACUAUUGCGAUGGGGGGACGGAGAAGGCUAGGUGGGCCAGGCGACGGUUGUCCUGGUUCAAGUGCGUAGGCUUGAGAGUUAGGUAAAUCCGGCUCUCUCUAAGGCUGAGACACGACGUCGAGCUGCUACGGCAGUGAAGUCAUUGAUGCCAUGCUUCCAGGAAAAGCCUCUAAGCUUCAGAUAGUCAGGAAUCGUACCCCAAACCGACACAGGUGGUCGGGUAGAGAAUACCAAGGCGCUUGAGAGAACUCGGGUGAAGGAACUAGGCAAAAUGGUACCGUAACUUCGGGAGAAGGUACGCUCUUGAUGGUGAAGUCCCUCGCGGAUGGAGCUGACGAGAGUCGCAGAUACCAGGUGGCUGCAACUGUUUAUUAAAAACACAGCACUGUGCAAAAUCGCAAGAUGACGUAUACGGUGUGACGCCUGCCCGGUGCCGGAAGGUUAAUUGAUGGGGUUAGCGCAAGCGAAGCUCUUGAUCGAAGCCCCGGUAAACGGCGGCCGUAACUAUAACGGUCCUAAGGUAGCGAAAUUCCUUGUCGGGUAAGUUCCGACCUGCACGAAUGGCGUAAUGAUGGCCACGCUGUCUCCACCCGAGACUCAGUGAAAUUGAAAUCGCUGUGAAGAUGCAGUGUACCCGCGGCUAGACGGAAAGACCCCGUGAACCUUUACUACAGCUUGGCACUGAACAUUGAACCUACAUGUGUAGGAUAGGUGGGAGGCUAUGAAGACGUGACGCCAGUUGCGUUGGAGCCGUCCUUGAAAUACCACCCUUGUAUGUUUGAUGUUCUAACUUAGACCCAUUAUCUGGGUUGAGGACAGUGCCUGGUGGGUAGUUUGACUGGGGCGGUCUCCUCCCAAAGAGUAACGGAGGAGCACGAAGGUGGGCUAAUCACGGUUGGACAUCGUGAGGUUAGUGCAAUGGCAUAAGCCCGCUUAACUGCGAGAAUGACGGUUCGAGCAGGUGCGAAAGCAGGUCAUAGUGAUCCGGUGGUUCUGUAUGGAAGGGCCAUCGCUCAACGGAUAAAAGGUACUCCGGGGAUAACAGGCUGAUACCGCCCAAGAGUUCAUAUCGACGGCGGUGUUUGGCACCUCGAUGUCGGCUCAUCACAUCCUGGGGCUGAAGUCGGUCCCAAGGGUAUGGCUGUUCGCCAUUUAAAGUGGUACGCGAGCUGGGUUUAGAACGUCGUGAGACAGUUCGGUCCCUAUCUGCCGUGGGCGUUGGAAGAUUGAAGGGGGCUGCUCCUAGUACGAGAGGACCGGAGUGGACGAACCUCUGGUGUUCGGGUUGUGUCGCCAGACGCAUUGCCCGGUAGCUAAGUUCGGAAUUGAUAAGCGCU